GAUGAACGCUGGCGGCGUGCCUAAUACAUGCAAGUCGAGCGAACGGACGAGAAGCUUGCUUCUCUGAUGUUAGCGGCGGACGGGUGAGUAACACGUGGAUAACCUACCUAUAAGACUGGGAUAACUUCGGGAAACCGGAGCUAAUACCGGAUAAUAUUUUGAACCGCAUGGUUCAAAAGUGAAAGACGGUCUUGCUGUCACUUAUAGAUGGAUCCGCGCUGCAUUAGCUAGCUGGUAAGGUAACGGCUUACCAAGGCAACGAUGCAUAGCCGACCUGAGAGGGUGAUCGGCCACACUGGAACUGAGACACGGUCCAGACUCCUACGGGAGGCAGCAGUAGGGAAUCUUCCGCAAAGGGCGAAAGCCUGACGGAGCAACGCCGCGUGAGUGAUGAAGGUCUUCGGAUCGUAAAACUCUGUUAUUAGGGAAGAACAUAUGUGUAAGUAACUGUGCACAUCUUGACGGUACCUAAUCAGAAAGCCACGGCUAACUACGUG
rnacentral:rRNA from 1 species